AUCUAAUGUAGUCUUGGGGUGGCUGGAUAGACUUCCCAAAGAAGGUGAUGCCGAAGCUGAGGUCGGAAAUUACGAAGAUCAGCUAUGAAGGCCUGAGGAGAGAAGACACAUAGUCAUGCUGACUAAACCAGAUCACCUAGAAUUACCAAAUGGAAAGCAUCUACUUGUUUCCAAAGUUAUUUGGGUCAGCAUUUUCCUCCACCCACCACUUAAAACUGAUUUGUUUCAUACAUUUGAAAUGUAUGAAAAGCCAGAAAUCCAGGACCCACCCUGGCCUGCUCCCUUUUUCUCACCUACUGUGUUAAGAAUCAUAAUGAAUGUCUUAGUCUAACUCCAAGCUCUCCACUUGUGAUAUGAUGUACUGACUCUUCAAAAGAAGGAAGACUAACAAGGUCAUGAAAACCAAGGAGAGACUGAGAAACCUCUACAGACUACAGGAGAAUGGAGAAACAUGACAACUAAAUGUAAUAUGGCACCCUGGAUUGGAUCCUUGGACAGAGAGAUGACGUUAAAGAAAAAAUUCAUAUAAAGCGUGGAGUUUAGUUCAGAGCGAUGUACCAAUGUCAAUUUCUUAGUUUGAACAAGUGUGUCAUGGUGAGGUAAAAUAUUUAUAGUGGGGGAAACUAGGUGAGGGGUAUCAGGGAACACUCAGCAAUGUCGGCAAAUUGUUUUGUAAUUGUUAAACUCUCCUAAAAUAAAAAUGUUAUGAUAAAAAGGAGGCUAUGUUGGAAAA
rnacentral:lncRNA from 1 species